rnacentral:lncRNA from 1 species
CUAAGAUGCAUUAGGCACAAAACGUGUACCUAUCUUGCACCAAAACUAACUAUGUCUCCAAAUAGACUAAAGCGAGAUUUCGUAUGGCACAUGUCAUCUAGGAGUUCUAUUGGGUGUGUCCAAAUGGAUUUUUGAGCAUAUGGUACGUUCCUUGCAAACCGUGCACCUAUCUUGCAUCAAGAUUAGUACUAUCUCCAAACAGAUCGAACCAAGCUUCCACUUGAGCCUCUUCACCUAGGAGUAUCAUUGGGUGCUUCCACAAUAGUUUCUGAUGAGGACAUCCCUAGCAUUCAUUCAUCUUCAAAUGAAACUCCACUUGAUAUAAGUGGUCCAA